UUAAGCGACUAAGCGUACACGGUGGAUGCCCUGGCAGUCAGAGGCGAUGAAGGACGUGCUAAUCUGCGAAAAGCGCCGGCGAGGUGAUAUGAACCUUUGACCCGGCGAUGUCCGAAUGGGGAAACCCAGUGUGUUCCGACACACUAUCGUUAACUGAAUACAUAGGUUAACGAGGCGAACCGGGGGAACUGAAACAUCUAAGUACCCCGAGGAAAAGAAAUCAACCGAGAUUCCCCCAGUAGCGGCGAGCGAACGGGGAGCAGCCCGGAGUCUGAAUCAGCUUGUGUGUUAGUGGAACGGUCUGGAAAGUCCGACGGUACAGGGUGAUAGUCCCGUACACGAAAAUGCACAUGCUGUGAACUCGAAGAGUAGGGCGGGACACGUGGUAUCCUGUCUGAAUAUGGGGGGACCAUCCUCCAAGGCUAAAUACUCCUGACUGACCGAUAGUGAACCAGUACCGUGAGGGAAAGGCGAAAAGAACCCCGGCGAGGGGAGUGAAAAAGAACCUGAAACCGUGUACGUACAAGCAGUGGGAGCACCUUCGGGUGUGACUGCGUACCUUUUGUAUAAUGGGUCAGCGACUUAUAUUCUGUAGCAAGGUUAACCGUAUAGGGGAGCCGAAGGGAAACCGAGUCUUAACUGGGCGUUAAGUUGCAGGGUAUAGACCCGAAACCCGGUGAUCUAGCCAUGGGCAGGUUGAAGGUUGGGUAACACUAACUGGAGGACCGAACCGACUAAUGUUGAAAAAUUAGCGGAUGACCUGUGGCUGGGGGUGAAAGGCCAAUCAAACCGGGAGAUAGCUGGUUCUCCCCGAAAGCUAUUUAGGUAGCGCCUCGUGAACUCAUCUUCGGGGGUAGAGCACUGUUUCGGCUAGGGGGCCAUCCCGGCUUACCAACCCGAUGCAAACUACGAAUACCGAAGAAUGUUAUCACGGGAGACACACGGCGGGUGCUAACGUCCGUCGUGAAGAGGGAAACAACCCAGACCGCCAGCUAAGGUCCCAAAGUCAUGGUUAAGUGGGAAACGAUGUGGGAAGGCACAGACAGCCAGGAUGUUGGCUUAGAAGCAGCCAUCAUUUAAAGAAAGCGUAAUAGCUCACUGGUCGAGUCGGCCUGCGCGGAAGAUGUAACGGGGCUAAACCAUGCACCGAAGCUGCGGCAGCGACGCUUAUGCGUUGUUGGGUAGGGGAGCGUUCUGUAAGCCGUUGAAGGUGUGCUGUGAGGCAUGCUGGAGGUAUCAGAAGUGCGAAUGCUGACAUAAGUAACGAUAAAGCGGGUGAAAAGCCCGCUCGCCGGAAGACCAAGGGUUCCUGUCCAACGUUAAUCGGGGCAGGGUGAGUCGACCCCUAAGGCGAGGCCGAAAGGCGUAGUCGAUGGGAAACAGGUUAAUAUUCCUGUACUUGGUGUUACUGCGAAGGGGGGACGGAGAAGGCUAUGUCAGCCGGGCGACGGUUGUCCCGGUUUAAGCAUGUAGGCGGAGGUUCCAGGUAAAUCCGGUACCUUGUUAACGCUGAGGUGUGAUGACGAGGCACUACGGUGCUGAAGUGAUAAAUGCCCUGCUUCCAGGAAAAGCCUCUAAGCAUCAGGUAACACGAAAUCGUACCCCAAACCGACACAGGUGGUCAGGUAGAGAAUACCAAGGCGCUUGAGAGAACUCGGGUGAAGGAACUAGGCAAAAUGGUGCCGUAACUUCGGGAGAAGGCACGCUGAUAUGUAGGUGAAGUCCCUGCGGACGGAGCUGAAAUCAGUCGAAGAUACCAGCUGGCUGCAACUGUUUAUUAAAAACACAGCACUGUGCAAACACGAAAGUGGACGUAUACGGUGUGACGCCUGCCCGGUGCCGGAAGGUUAAUUGAUGGGGUUAGCGGCAACGCGAAGCUCUUGAUCGAAGCCCCGGUAAACGGCGGCCGUAACUAUAACGGUCCUAAGGUAGCGAAAUUCCUUGUCGGGUAAGUUCCGACCUGCACGAAUGGCGUAAUGAUGGCCAGGCUGUCUCCACCCGAGACUCAGUGAAAUUGAACUCGCUGUGAAGAUGCAGUGUACCCGCGGCAAGACGGAAAGACCCCGUGAACCUUUACUAUAGCUUGACACUGAACACUGGUCCUUGAUGUGUAGGAUAGGUGGGAGGCUUUGAAGCGUGGACGCCAGUCUGCGUGGAGCCAUCCUUGAAAUACCACCCUUUAAUGGCUGGUGUUCUAACGUAGACCCGUGAUCCGGGUUGCGGACAGUGUCUGGUGGGUAGUUUGACUGGGGCGGUCUCCUCCCAAAGAGUAACGGAGGAGCACGAAGGUUGGCUAAUCCUGGUCGGACAUCAGGAGGUUAGUGCAAUGGCAUAAGCCAGCUUGACUGCGAGCGUGACGGCGCGAGCAGGUGCGAAAGCAGGUCAUAGUGAUCCGGUGGUUCUGAAUGGAAGGGCCAUCGCUCAACGGAUAAAAGGUACUCCGGGGAUAACAGGCUGAUACCGCCCAAGAGUUCAUAUCGACGGCGGUGUUUGGCACCUCGAUGUCGGCUCAUCACAUCCUGGGGCUGAAGUAGGUCCCAAGGGUAUGGCUGUUCGCCAUUUAAAGUGGUACGCGAGCUGGGUUUAGAACGUCGUGAGACAGUUCGGUCCCUAUCUGCCGUGGGCGCUGGAGAAUUGAGGGGGGCUGCUCCUAGUACGAGAGGACCGGAGUGGACGCAUCACUGGUGUUCGGGUUGUCAUGCCAAUGGCACUGCCCGGUAGCUAAAUGCGGAAGAGAUAAGUGCUGAAAGCAUCUAAGCACGAAACUUGCCCCGAGAUGAGUUCUCCCUGAGACCUUGAGUCUCCUGAAGGAACGUUGAAGACGACGACGUUGAUAGGUCGGGUGUGUAAGCGCAGCGAUGCGUUGAGCUAACCGAUACUAAUGAACCGUGAGGCUUAACCUU
rnacentral:rRNA from 3 species